rnacentral:snoRNA from 1 species
GACCUCCCAGGAUAGCAUCUGGAGAAUGGCUAGUAUUUUACCAGCUUCAGAGAAGGAAGGGAAAGCAAGCCCAGCAGAGAUGCCCAUUGCAUUCCCAAUUUACUUAGUCAGUGGUGAAUGGAAGAUAUUCUGCAACAGUG